rnacentral:rRNA from 1 species
CCUUGUACUUAGUUGCCAUCAUUAAUUUGGGCACUCUANGGUNACUGCCGGUAACAAACCGNAGGAAGGUGGGGAUAACUUCAAUUCAUCAUGCCCCUUAUGAUCUGGGCUACACACUUGCUACAAUGGACGGUACAAAGAUCUGCAANACCGCAAGGUGAACCUAAUCUCAUAAAACCGUUCUCAUUUCGGAUUGUANGCUGCAACUCACCUACUUNAAUCUGGAAUCNCUAUUAAUCGCGGAUCAACAUUCCGCGGUGAAUACUUCCCCGGGCCUUGUACACACCGCCCGUCACACCACGAAAGUUGGUCUCACCCNAAUUCUGUGGGGUAACCUUUAGGGAAGCCCANCCGCCUAA